ACGAACGCUGGCGGCGUGCUUAACACAUGCAGGUCGAACGGAAAGGCCCCUUUGGGGGUACUCGAGUGGCGAACGGGUGAGUAACACGUGAGUAACCUGCCCUUGACUUCGGGAUAACUUCAGGAAACUGGGGCUAAUACCGGAUAGGAAUCCUUGCUGCAUGGUGGGGGUUGGAAAGCUUCGGCGGUUUUGGAUGGACUCGCGGCUUAUCAGCUUGUUGGUGGGGUAGUGGCUUACCAAGGCUUUGACGGGUAGCCGGCCUGAGAGGGCGACCGGCCACAUUGGGACUGAGAUACGGCCCAGACUCCUACGGGAGGCAGCAGUGGGGAAUAUUGCACAAUGGGCGGAAGCCUGAUGCAGCAACGCCGCGUGCGGGAUGACGGCCUUCGGGUUGUAAACCGCUUUCAGCAGGGGCGAAGCUUGUGGUGACGGUACCUGCAGAAGAAGCACCGGCUAACUACGUG
rnacentral:rRNA from 1 species